rnacentral:rRNA from 1 species
UACGUAGGGUGCAAGCGUUGUCCGGAAUUAUUGGGCGUAAAGAGCUCGUAGGCGGUUCGUCGCGUCGGCUGUGAAAACCUGAGGCUCAACCUCAGGCCUGCAGUCGAUACGGGCGGACUUGAGUACUGCAGGGGAGACUGGAAUUCCUGGUGUAGCGGUGAAAUGCGCAGAUAUCAGGAGGAACACCGAUGGCGAAGGCAGGUCUCUGGGCCGAUACUGACGCUGAGACGCGAAAGCGUGGGGAGCAAACAGG